CAAGUCCAUUCACAAUACCCAUUUCUCUCUCCAUUGUGACCCUCUCAAUACAGCUCAGCCUUCUCUCUCUCACAACAAAGCUCUGCGUUCUCAUCCCUGAAUCUCAGACUACACCAAGAACAAGAUGAAAAAGGUGUACAAUUUUCUCCUCUUCAGUGUUUUAUUCUGUGCUGAUCUUUACUCUUCAUAUAGAUUUUGGGUAUGGAAAAUGGGUAUCGAAACAAGAUGAAAAAGGUGUACGAUUAAGACUGAAGAUGAAACAACCACAUCAAACAGGUGGCAGAGAUGUCGACUCAUGCUAGGAAGACGAAUGCACGAGAGAUUUUAAAAGGGUGCAACAAUAAGAGACUGACUCAUGUUGGUUUUUGUUUGAAUUUUUUCCAGUAAGGGUUUUGUUUUGUGUACUCGUGGAUAUAUGGAGCUGCUUUGCUUUUUCCAAUGUUGUUAUUUACAUUAUUUCAUUUAGGCAAAAUUAUACUCAGGGUCCUUUAAGUUAUUUUAUUGUAACAAGUUGGUCCUUUAUAUUUUUUUUGCUAUAAGUUAGUCCUUUAUGUUAACUAAUGUAUGCAUCGUUGAUCUUUUUUCUGUUUUAUUAAUUUUAUUUUAUUUCGUUUUUAACUUUUAAAAUUCAUAUUAAACUCAUUGUUGGUCCAAAAAUUAUGAAAAAAUUCCUAAAAAUAAUUCUUCUCAUUUUACACUUUGUGUAAUUUUCUGAGAAUUUUAUUUUCUGUUUUAUUAUUUUUAAUUAAUUUAUUUCUUUUGUGUGCAUUUUAAUUAGUUUAAAAAUAUUUUUAUGCUCUAAAAAAUUCUGAAAAUUUUACUAUAGGAUUCAAUGAUGGUCUCUAACGUAUGUUAAGUGAUACAUCAACACCAUUAGUGUCACUUCGGUUUUUUUGGAACGAAGUUUAUGAAAAAGGUUAACUGUGCAGACGUUAGUUAACAUAAAGGACCAACUUGUAGCGAAAAAAACAUCAAGGACCAACUUGUUACAAUAAAAUAACUUAAAGGACCCCGGGUAUAAUUUUGCCUUUCAUUUAUUACUAGGUUUUGAAUGGUUAUCAAUUAUGUUAGAGCAUCGGUCACUGUUUAGAAGUGCUAACAAUGUCCUUCAAUCUAGAGGAAGUUUUUUCUAACAUAUCAGAAAAUAUCUCCAAUGUUCAUAUCCAGU